GUACAAAGAGGGCACGACUGUACAUGACUCAUGACGAGGUGUGAAUUAGGUCUACACAGUACGAUGAGAAAGCAGCGGUUUGAGGCACGGGUUUUUGGCUUCCUUCGUCUUUUAUUUGUAUGGUUUCUGAAACAACCACUGCAAUUAAUGCAGCUUCACUUUGCUUCACGUGUGAAUACGUUCUUAAGUAGGCCCUCAUGUCCACGUAUAGGAGCAUGACAGUGUGCUUCUCAUUCCCAUUUGCAGUCGAUAUUGGAUGAGGAUAUGAGAGUUGGUAUUGAUUGCAAUUUCCUGCAACGCUACGUUCCACUCUCUUGCUUUAUCAGGAGACUAAUUCCUAUCAGCUACGCUGUCGGCCAACCAACAGCCUUGGCUGCUGCCCAGGACAACAGCUAAUGAAUAAGAGAGGAGUGAAUAAUCCAGCGAGGCAUUUCUCCUCUGACAAACAGGUUGCUACGGGGACGAUAAUGAUGAGUCUGGGAUAUUGGCUGUGGGGAAAUGUGUACGUGUAUUAGUGCGCAUCAGCAGCCAGGUUGCGUUUGUUUGCAUGUGUGCCUGUGCGCUUCAGUAUGUGUAUUUGUAAGAUGUUUGUGCUCCAUGCAUGCUUGCACCAGCCAAGUCUUCACUGAUUUUAAUGGCGAGAUGUUUGGGAUGUCAGACAUUUGCGUGCCUUGGGAUUUGCUGUUGUUGAGUGAAGUCAUCAAGGGCAUGAAGCCAGCUGACAGCAGCUGGAGAGCCAAUCAGGUGUUUAUUUUUGCUAUAAUUGUGGAGCUAAGUAAUAAUGUUGUCCUUCCUGAGAUGCAUCAGGGUCCAGGUAUACAGUGAAAGUUUUACUUUUUUGUUGUCUUUUUUUCUUUUCAUACCAGUUUCAAUAGGAGAAUCUCUUUUAAAAAACAUAGCACUUGUUUUAGUGGACUACAUCCACUGUCCAAACCUUUUUUUUUUACUAUAUUCACUUUUUUUCCUUUUAAAUUUCAUCCCUCUUCCUGUUUUUUGUUAGUUUGAGUUUUAAACCGAGUUGAUUAUACUGUAAGUCUCUGUGGCUGAAAUGCUGAUUUAAAUCUCUAAAUAUCCUGCUGCACACAUUUCAGGUGCCUACUCUUUUCCAUACCACUUGCUUCCAUCUCCCCGAUUAAGCAUUUAUCCUUUCUUCUUAGUUAUUCUAGUUUAAAAUAAAACGGCCUACAAUAUCUUUCAUCAAUAGCUGCAACCCUCUUUGUGUUUUGACUUAGUGUGAAAGUGGCAGGAACAUGCAAGGCACCCAUAAAGUGAUUCAAAUGUUUUGUUUUUGUGUUCAUGCUGGAAAUAAUUCUGAUGUAACUGUAAGUUUUGACGUGGCUUCCAAUAUUCCAAUAGCCAAAAAAAAUUUCAACCUUCUGUUGGGGGGUUGCCAAUGCAGGGCCAUUAGCCAAAGUGUAGUUGUGUUGUUGAUAACCUAUUCAAAUUCAGUCAGUCACUGAUAUUAAUUCACUAACUGACUGUGAGAAAAGUGUACAGUUCUUGUAAGCGCCAGACGUCUGCUUUAUAUUUUUAUUUACGAUCGAGUUCAUGUUUGUUUUAUAAUUCAUAGAUUCAUUACAUAAGUCAUCUUUUCAGGAUUAAUAAAUAUGAAAAUAUAUGUGUUUAUGUAAAGUAAUUUUAAGUCACUGUUUUGGGAUUGGAACCUAAAAGGGGGU
ensembl:lncRNA